rnacentral:rRNA from 1 species
GACGAACGCUGGCGGCAAGCUUAACACAUGCAAGUCGAACGCCGUAGCAAUACGGAGUGGCAGACGGGUGAGUAACACGUGGGAACGUGCCUUUCGGUUCGGAACAACUGAGGGAAACUUCAGCUAAAACCGGAUACGCCCUUCGGGGGAAAGUUUACGCCGAAAGAUCGGCCCGCGUCAGAUUAGGUAGUUGGCAGGGUAAUGGCCCACCAAGCCGAUGAUCUGUAGCUGUUCUGAGAGGAAGAUCAGCCACACUGGGACUGAGACACGGCCCAGACUCCUACGGGAGGCAGCAGUGGGGAGUAUUGGACAAUGGGCGCAAGCCUGAUCCAGCUAUGCCGCGUGGAUGAAGAAGGCCUUCGGGUUGUAAAGUCCUUUCGGCGGGGAAGAUAAUGACGGUACCCGCAGAAGAAGCCCCGGCUAACUUCGUGCCAGCCGCCGCGGUAA